rnacentral:rRNA from 1 species
CGGACGGGUGAGGAACACAUCGGAAUCUACCCUGUCGUGGGGGACAACGUAGGGAAACUUACGCUAAUACCGCAUACGACCUUUGGGUGAAAGCGGGGGACCAGCAAUGGCCUCGCGCGAUUGGAUGAGCCGAUGUCCGAUUAGCUAGUUGGCGGGGUAAUGGCCCACCAAGGCGACGAUCGGUAGCUGGUCUGAGAGGACGACCAGCCACACUGGAACUGAGACACGGUCCAG